rnacentral:rRNA from 1 species
UACAGAGGUCCCAAGCGUUGUCCGGAUUGACUGGGCGUAAAGCGCACGCAGGCGGUUGCGCGCGUGGGGUGUGGAAAUCUGGCCGCUUAACGGCCAGGCGCCAUCCCAUACGGCGCGACUGGAGCGAUGGCAGAGGUCGGUGGAAUUGCCGGUGUAGUGGUGAAAUGCGUAGAGAUCGGGACAGGAACACCCCAGGGGGGAAACCAGCCGGACUGGGCAUCUGCUGACGCUGAUGUGGCGAGAGCGUGGGGAGCGAACCGG